UCAGCUGGGUAGGUUAGAGAAUAAGCAAAACACGAAAGAUUAAGAUUUAGAGCCUAGAGGCUCAAAUCUGCAAAGAGAUCGGGGCGAAAGAGAAGCGACCACGCCAUGGCUGCAAAAUAAUGAUUUGCCAAGCCAAGAUACGGAUCGGAUAGUCUCCAUCUCCGAUUCAGCUAGCCCAGAAUCCGAAGAAAUCAUCAUCACCGCCUCAAAUUUUAUGGGAAAAUCAACAAACAUACAUACAUACAUAGUCUAACAGAGACAAAAAAAACUAGUAGUAUAUAUAUGCUUUCCAAGUUCAAUGAUCCAGUAAUUAACAUAACCAAG
rnacentral:lncRNA from 1 species